rnacentral:rRNA from 1 species
UGCGUAGGCGGUUUCUUAAGUCAGUGGUGAAAUCCUGCGGCUCAACCGUAGAACUGCCAUUGAAACUGAGGAACUUGAAUAUAGUUGAGGUAGGCGGAAUGAGUAGUGUAGCGGUGAAAUGCUUAGAUAUUACUCAGAACACCGAUUGCGAAGGCAGCUUACUAAACUAUUAUUGACGCUGAUGCACGAAAGCGUGGGGAGCGAACAGGAUUAGAUACCCUGGUAGUCC